rnacentral:rRNA from 1 species
CCUACGGGUGGCAGCAGUGAGGAAUAUUGGUCAAUGGACGGGAGUCUGAACCAGCCAAGUAGCGUGAAGGAUGACUGCCCUAUGGGUUGUAAACUUCAUUUAUAAGGGAAUAAAACGAGACGCGUGUGCCUUUUUACAUGUACUUUAAGAAUAAGGAUCGGCUAACUCCGUGCCAGCAGCCGCGGUAAUACGGAGGAUCCGCGCGUUAUCCGGAUUUAUUGGGUUUAAAGGGAGCGUAGAUGGGUUGUUAAGUCAGUUGUGAAAGGUUGUGGCUCAACCUUAAAAUUGCAAUGGAUACUGGCAGUCUGGAGUACAGGUGAGGUAGGCGGAAUUCGUGGUGUAGCGGUGAAAUGCGUAGAUAUCACGAAGAACCCCGAUUGCGAAGGCAGCUUACUAAACUGUGACUGACAUUGAUGCUCGAAAGUGUGGGUAGCAAACAGGAUUAGAUACCCCUGUAGUC